GUUUCCAGGCCCCCUGUGAUCUUCCGGUUGGAGCGAGGGGAAGUGCCUUGGAUGCCCGAGGGGGCCAGCCCAGGGAACCCCUGUGCAGGAUUCUGUGAGGCGCGAGCAGGACAAGGUGCAUAAAGUGCUUUGAGAUGCAGAAAGCACGUGAGGGGGAAACUGAGGCAAAUGGAAGCUAAGUCACUUGCCGGGGUCAGAUUUGAACUCAGGUUUCCCUGUCUCCAGGCCUGGCACUGUACACUGUGGUGCCCCUUGCAGCCCCUGACAACACUCCACCCCAUCUUUUUCUCUUCCCCACCCUGAUAUCUGUUAGCAAAGCCAGAACUGAAUUUUUGUCUUGAAUCAGGUUAGGUCUUUCUGGAUUAAAAGUGA